UGGGGAAUUUUGGACAAUGGGGGAAACCCUGAUCCAGCCAUCCCGCGUGUGCGAUGAAGGCCUUCGGGUUGUAAAGCACUUUUGGCAGGAAAGAAACGUCAUGGGUUAAUACCCCGUGAAACUGACGGUACCUGCAGAAUAAGCACCGGCUAACUACGUGCCAGCAGCCGCGGUAAUACGUAGGGUGCAAGCGUUAAUCGGAAUUACUGGGCGUAAAGCGUGCGCAGGCGGUUCGGAAAGAAAGAUGUGAAAUCCCAGAGCUCAACUUUGGAGCUGCAUUUUUAACUACCGGGCUAGAGUGUGUCGGGGGGAGGUGGAAUUCCGCGUGUAGCAGUGAAAUGCGUAGAUAUACGGAGAAACACCGAUGGCGAAGGCAGCCUCCUGGGAUAACACUGACGCUCAUGCACAAAAGCGUGGGGAGCAAACAGG
rnacentral:rRNA from 1 species